AUGGAGCAGCAAGCAGCAGCGGUGGUGGUGGUCAGCGGGAAGGCGACGGAUCCAGUACGUGGUGGGCUUAAGCAAAUCAGGCGGGGGAGAGGCUGUGACAAGUUCGUCGCGGCGGUGGUGGGUCUAGCAGCAGCGCCAACAGGUCCAUUAGCGGAGGCGAGUCUGGUUGCGGCUUGGCGUACGUGGAGCGGCAUGAGGAGGCCCGGCGCCUGCGAAGACUCGAAAGAUGGCGAUGAGCUCCAUCCCCAUCCUUCUCGAAGACGAUGGUCCGCCUCUCCUGCCGCCUUCAGGAGCUCUAUCUUCUCCACGAAAUCGAGCUUGCCAGUGGAGCUAGAGCUGCUUGGGGAUGUAGAGUUUGGCGGA
rnacentral:lncRNA from 1 species